rnacentral:lncRNA from 1 species
CUAGGUCUGACAUCAGAGAUGAAGCUGGCUGUGCCCUGGGGACACAUCGCUGCCAAACUCUGGGGCUCCCAGCAGGGCCCCCCGGUUCUUUGCCUGCACGGCUGGCUGGACAAUGCCAACUCCUUUGACAGACUCAUCCCUCUUCUCCCAAAAGGUAGGGCUGAAGGGAAGCGAGGGGCAGCAGGGCAUAGACUGCAGGUGAGAGGUGGGGGGAGACGUCUGACCUAGGUGCCUUCUCUUAACCCCUGUCUCUCGUCUCAGACUUUCAUUACGUUGCCAUGGAUUUCGGGGGACAUGGGCUCUCAUCGCAUUACAGCCCAGGUCUCCCGUAUUACCAGCAAAACUUUGUGAUUGAGGUCCAGAGAGUUGUAGCAGGUAAAUAAGAGGCCGAGUGUGUGUUUGUGUGUGUGUGUGUGUGUGUGUGUGUGUGUGUGUGUGUGUAGGGGUGCACUGGGGACAUCCCCUGUCCUCUCUGGAGUGGGGUGUGGUAACCAGGUAGCGAUCCCGGCCUGGGAGUGACCUGGGGUCUGGCCCUAGUCCUGCCACGAAUUCAUGGGUGACUCUGGGAGAGCUGGAGAGGACGGGCCAAAGAAGAGCUCUAUUCCUCCUGUGGGUUCUGCUCCCGCAGGGAAGCUGGGGUCCCUCUGAGCUAGUUUCCUGAGUGGGGCACCCCAGAUGCUGGGGACGGAUGUCGUGACCUCAGGGACUGCAGGACAGAGGUUUGCGGGAGGCUGGGCCCAUCCAAAGCUGGCUCCGUAUGUUUUCAGCUUUGAAAUGGAAUCGUUUUUCCAUCAUGGGCCACAGUUUUGGUGAGUACACGUUACACUUGGGCGGGCGGGGGGCUGACUGGGCUGGGGGGCUGCGAGGGAGGGAGAAAAUCGGUACACCAGUACCCUGCACUUCUGGGCACUGCAAGGAGAGGGGAAGGGGUGUGCGGGCGCUAUGGGCGCUCUGCCCUUUGGCCUGAGGCAACUCCCCCAAGGGACAUACGGCCCCAGAGGUGGCUGUCUUCCAACGUGACAAGAGAAAUGUGGCCUUUUGAGUGGUUAGGUCUGACGGAGGGGCCAUAUGGCCCCAGGGAGGGAACCCCAAGUUUGACAGUGAAUGAAGAGCCCCAGGGGGAGAGAGGAGCCAGGCCCCUAGCCUGGGGUGGGGCAGCCCUUGGGAGGAAGUUUUCGUAGGACUUCAAGAGCUGGGAGAAUACCAGCCCACUCUUCUUUUGCCCCCUCCCCAGGCGGUAUUGUGGGCGGAAUGGUGAGUAGAUGGCUUUGCAGUGACCACCUCUGGCCACCUUGGGCGCUCUGACAGGUGGCGGGGGGCGGGGGGCGGGUGGUGGUUGCGGGGGAGAGCGGGAGAAAGAAGGGGAAGGCGCCAGGAAAGGAAGUGUGUCCUCCUGUCACCAACUUGAAGUCAGCAUUUUAUGACCUAGUGUCACUUUGCUCUGUCGCUGGCAGUAAUCAUUCUUGUGGGGAGGUUGGUGAAACUGGAGAUUCCUGAUGGAGUUCAGAGUUUCCACAUUCUUCAUCCCCAGGGAGCCCUGCAAUCUAGCAGGAGGUGGACCUUGGUCUGAGUGUGGACCUUGGGGGGAGGGGAGAGGAGGCUACCCUGAAGGGAAGAAAGACACUGGAAAUACCAGUGUCCCCAGGGAAAAGCUGGAGUCUCAUUGCCUUCUUCCUCUCCUACUCAUUGUUUCCUUUUUGGGUCCCAUCAAGUAUUCCUGUACCUUCCCCGAGACGGUGGAUAAACUUAUCUUGCUGGACACGUUGCCGUGUGCCCUGGACUAUAAAGUAAGAACAAAGGCUUUCAUGCGUACUGUCAUGGGGGAGACCCAGGCCCCCCGGUAGUGUCCUCAGCGCUGUCUCUUUGGUGGGUACCAGGGAGACGGGAGAAGGUGGCAGAGGGUAGACAAGGGGGGAUCAGAGAGGAUCCCCGCAGAGGACAGGGUUGUGCAGCCUAUACCCCCAAGGAGUGGGCAGAGAAAGGGGUUGCAGGGGUCUUUGUGGUCCUUGGAAACCCUGUAUGUGGCAUGGCUACAGAAUGCCAGGUCAGUCACGAAGUGGCAGGGGACGGAGAGGGUAGGAACGGUGGAUUGAGGAAGCUCUGGGCGCACACAGCUUGGCGAGGCCACCCGCACUCACGCUCAGUUGCAUGCUUUUGCGCUGUGCACACACUGGACAACCGCACACGGCAGCCCUGAGUGCAGACCAAUGGGAAAGUGCCGAUCCCUGCAUCUCGCCGCCGCCACCAGUGACAACAAACAGUGCCGUCCCUGCAUCUGGGUCCUGGCUCUGCCAUUGACCUGCUGGGUGACCCUGGGCAAGCGACUUGGCCUAUCCGGACCAAAAUGAGAUGGUUGGGCUAGAUGACCUCAGAGGUGUCUGCCCCCCCCCCCCCUCACAUUCGGUCAUCCUGCUUCCCGAGGGCUCAGUCUCUCGGUGAGGACACAGCUUUGUCACCAAUUCCAGUUUCUUAUCUGUAAAAUGGCCACAGAUGCCAAAAGGGCAUGAACCACGCUGUCUUUUUAUUACCACAUGCCCAAUCCCAGCAUACAGUAAGCGCUCAGUAGGUGCUGGUUUCAUGAGUAGAUGGCCUGUGGGUUAACGUGAGGAUCCAGUGAGACUUGGGCUGCUCUUCCUUCCUUAUCUGAGUUACCAAACACGGUGCCCCAGGAUCUUCCUCCCGGGGGUCUGGGGAUCUGGUCCUCUUUGUCCUGCGUUCUCUGGGGGUUGGAUGGGAGCGUCACUUCCCACUGCUGCUCACGGAGCCGACCGUGGGCAGGGCUGGGCUGUUCUCAGAGGGAGCUGGGUUGGGAAUGGCUACGCUCGAAGGGGGGGCUGGAAGCCCCAAGUGCUCCGCUCGGCAGUCGCCUCUCCACCAUUUGGAGUGAGAGCAUUAAUUAAACCAGAUGAACUUGCCGACCCUGGGUGGUGCUUGGCUUCCGGGCCUACCGCUGCACCUUUGCAAAGCUCUGGCAGUUGACCGAGGUUUCCUUUCUCUUCCAUCCUCCUCCAACCUGAUCCCUGCGGCUGUCCGACCCCAGGCGGGGCUGGCCUGGCUGUGACCGAGGCAGACAACUUGCCCUGAUCACAGACUAACUAGCAGCGGUUGAUCCUGUGCCCCACCCCCUCACUGGGUCAGAAGGACUCCCGGCUAAAGGGGGCGCACGGGGGCCGGGGGAGGAGCUGGCCCCUUUGUCUGCAGCCCGGAGUCCUGCCCACCCAGCAGAACCUGCGACCCCCCCAGGAAUCGGAGAACUUGCUGACCUAUAAGCGAAGAAUGAUAGAGCACAUGCUACAGAUAGAGGCCUCCCAGAAGCCCCAGCGAGUGCUCAGCCCGGAGGAGAUGCUGCAGGGGUGAGUGCAAUCCGGUGAGACGGGGCUGUGGCGGAGCUGGAGGAGCUAUGGGAUACCAAGGGAGGACAUCUCUGGGGCACAGAGGGGGCAUCUGUCUCCUCGCAGAUGCACAGCAAGCCUGUUUCUCUCUGUGCUCCCCCUGGGCACCAGGCUGCCUGGCUCUCUUCAGACACCCCAGCCGGGACUUGAUCUGCCUCUUAUCCUCCCCGCUGUAUAGCCACGCCCUUCGUGUACCAGGACCCCUCUCCACACGUCCUCUGCCCCGCUUCUUCGCCCUGUAAUUCCUCCCUGGCCCUCUCUGCAGGCACCUUGCUAACUUCCCCGCUCCUCCUUCCGGCCUCGGCUGGCUGCCUCUUCCGCCGGGACUCUGACUCUGCCAGGUCCAGUUGCCCUGUGGGCAACUGAAGAUCUGUGGCGGUGGCCGCUGGCGGGUUGCCUUUGUCCCUCCGCCGCUGGAAGUGUCGCUGGUAGCCAGGGAUCUAUAAAUAUUUGUGGUCUAAAGGGGUGAAAAUGCACACACCUACGCACACUCACAUACGCACCCUGCUGAUGCGGACGUCCCCACCGACACAUGCCUGUGUCCUCCGUGGGGCGGCCCUCCUCUCCUCUCCAUCUGACCUCCCCUGCCCCAAGACGUUGAGCGUCCCUCUGUCUUCCCCAGGUUCCUGAAGAACAACAGUCACGUGGGUGAGGAAUGCGCACGGCUCCUCCUGCAGAGAGGAACCACCCAGGUGGCCACAGGUAGGGACUGUCACCCUCCGAGACCGUCGCUUACUGGCACUGUUCUUAUUGAGGAGCGAUAGCUAAGCUCCAGGGCCGCUUGCUCCGGACCUGGCAUCACGCUAAGUGCUCAGCAAACAGUAUCUCACGGAACCCCCCUGCUGCCCUAUACUCACCCCCUCCAGAGCCGGAGAAACUGAGGCUCGGAAAGGCCGAGUGACUCACGCCAGCUCAGGCAGCUGAGAGUCGUCAGGUGUCUUCGGACUGAACGUUGGGGAAUGUUCCAGCCAUGCUGUGCUGGCCCGUGUGGCGGGUGCUGGUGUCCGAGGCUAGGGUUUGAGGCAACGUGACUCAAAAGAGGUUUUUCAAAAUGGACAAGCGGACAGGGUGCCUGGCAGGCUCAGUCAGUAGAGCAUGUGACUCUUGAUCUCAGGGUCGUGAGUGCCACCCCACGUUGGGAGUGGAAAAAAAAGAAGGCGCACCGGCGGGGGGGGGGGGGGGGCUCAGUCGGUUAAGCGUCCGACUUCGGUUCAGGUCACGAUCUCGCGGUUCAUGGGUUCGAGCCUCGCGUCAGGCUCUGUGCUGACAGCUCAGAGCCUGGAGCCCGCUUCGGAUUCCGGGUCUCCCUCUCUCUCUGCCCCUCCCCUGCUCUCACUCUGUCUCUCUCUCAAAAAUAAAUAAACAUAAAAAAAAAUAAAUUAAAAUAAAAUAAAGACCCAAUUUCCAACUAUCCCCCUUUUACUAAAACAAAUCUAAUUGUAAGACAGCCCUAUAGUUUAUGGGUCUAGGAAUUAGUCAUUUCCAAUUAGAUUACGGCCAGGUUUGUGCCAAGUUACCAGAACCUGCAACAACAAACCAAAUGAAGCCCAGGGUGCUUCUGUUAGCGCUGGUUUUUCCCCAAAAGUUGGAGGCUUCCCUGAUCGACCCAAACAGCUUCCUGGUUUCCGGUUUCUUAGUCUUAGGGCUUAUGCUAAGCGAAAUUAGUCAGUCAGAGAAAGACAAAAAUCAUAUGACUUCACUCCUAUGAGGACUUUAAGAGACAAAACAGAUGAACGUAAGGGAAGGGAAACAAAAAUAAUAUAAAAACAGGGAGGGGGACAAAACGUAAGAGACUCAUACAUAUGGAAAACAAACUGAGGGUUACUGGAGGGGUUGUGGGAGGGGGGAGGGGCUAAAUGGGGAAGGGGCACUAAGGAAUCUACUCCUGAAAUCAUUGUUGCGCCAUAUGCUAACUAAUUUGGAUGUAAAUUAAAAAAAAAAUUUUUUUAAAAACAAACAAAAAAAUCUGGGGUUCCUUCCACCCACUCCUCAGUUUCAGAGGCUUACAGAACUUGGGAAACCCAUUUACUCCCUAGGAUACAGUUCAUUAUAAAGGAUACACCUGAGGAACAGCCAGACGGGAGAGAUCCAGAAGGCAGCGUGUGAGGGAGGGGUGCGGAGCGUCCACGCGUCCCCUGGGUGCACCGUCCUCCCAGCACCAAUGUGUUCACCAGCCUGGGAAGCUCCCUGAACCCCCUAGUUGAGGGAUUUUUUUAAUGGAGGCUUCGCCGUGUAGACAUGAUCCAUCAUCACAGUUUCUGGUCCCUCUCCCCUUCCCAGAGGAUGGGGAGGUAGACGUAAAAUUUCAGGCUUCUAAUCACAGGUUGACCCUGAGGCUAUCUAGAGCCCACCAAGAGCCCCCUCAUUAGGACCAAAGAUGCUCCUAUCACCUAGGAAAUUGCAAGGGAUUCUGAAGCUCUGUGUCAGGACCUGGCCUCAAAGGCCAGAUAUUAGAACAAAAGAUGCUCCUAGCACCUUUAUUACUUAGAUUACACAGGCUUUAGGAGCUCUGGCCAGGACCAGGCCUGCAGACUAAAAUAUCUACUUCCUAUUAUAUCACAACAGCACAGUCUUUAUUGGCUGUGGCAGGAGACGGGUGGGAGGUGGUCUAGGGUUCUGAUCAUAUCUUCUGCCUUCGAAAGUAUUUUCUUAUGAAUUGUAUGUUUCCCGCGACUUGUUAGGGAUUCCAACAGUCUUGGAGGAGGUGUCGGCUCACAAGUCGCUGGCCCGGCUAGCCCGAGAGGCCCCAGCAGGCUCUGGGCAGGCCGAGCCCAGUCUCUCCUCUUUCCGGGGCUCACACUGGCCUCAUCCCUCUCAGUUCCUAACCAAUGAAACAGGUUGUUAAGGGAGUUAAGUCAGUGCAAAGCCCCGCUGAGCAGCUGCUGGCCCUGAUGUCGUGGGACCUGAGUCUGAGAAGAGGACCAAGCAGCCUUCCAAAAAAGCUAGGGCUGCUUGCUCUUGGAUCUGUUCGUGGAACUCCUCUAAGGGAUAUCUGUGCUGGCCUGCUGGUCUGAGAAACACAUUUCUGGCCUUCGAAAGUCUCACUGUCUCGUGGGGGGCGGGGGGGAGCAACAGAAAAGCAGCCAGGCUGUGGGCCUGCUGGGGCCUGUUUAGGAUGUGCCCAGUGGAAGCGAGUCUUGGAAUAGGAGGAGGAUGUGGCCAAAGAGGAGAGAAGCCGUGGCCCAGGGCAGAGAAAACAGCUCGGUAGGAACCCCCAGGUACCUUGGGGGUCACCCCACCCUUAAGGUAACCCCCUUUCAAAGUUGUUUCACAUCCUCUGAGCAGCUGGAGCCCAGGCCUGGAGGAAGGAGGAGGCAGCGAGCCCAGGUGGGGGCCCCGGGGUUGCCUGUGGUCCUGCACGGGCAGCGGGGGCUGAUUGUCAGUGCAGGGAGGUCACGGCCAGAGCCGAAGGUCACCCAGAGGCCUCAGCCUUGGUUUCAUUAGGCCGAGAUGAUUACACGGUCCUCCCAAGUAUUUUGAGUUCCAAAUGCCUAAGAACCUCUAACAACAGUUAAUCGUCUAUAUUUAAAACUAUGUCUAAAAGUUCCAUAAUCUCUAAUUAGAGGGGGAAACCUAAUAAUUAUGGAAAAGAGCUCUCCUUAAUGUUCCCAUAAUUGUUUCUCGGAAAGCCAUUUUGUAUUCAAACAUCAGUUUUCCAGCAGGGAGACCUCACGCCCUUCCCCUGGUGGACCCCCCACCCCUGCGUCCUGCCCAAGUACCCCUUCCUCCAGAGCUGAUGGGGUGUACAAAGGGCUGGGCACAGGGGCGCCUGGGUGGCUCAGUCGGUUAAGCGGCCGACUUCGGCCCAUGAUCUCGCGGUCCGUGAGUUCGAGCCCUGCGUCGGGCUCUGUGCUGACAGCUCAGAGCCUGGAGCCUGUUUCAGAUUCUGUGUCUCCCUCUCUCUGACCCUCCCCCGUUCAUGCUUUGUCUCUCUCUGUCUCAAAAAUAAAUAAACGUUAAAAAAAAAAUUAAAAAAAAAAAAACAACAAAGGGCUGGGCACGGAUGCCAACCUAGUCGCCAUUUUGGUUUUGCUUUUUACGUGAAUAUUACUUUUUCGAACAGGUGCUACAUGACGUAGUUUGAAACACAAUGUACCAUAAACAGCUCUGCGUGUCUCGCCGUGUCUUACCCCUUUCCCAUCCUUGUGGCUCAGCUCACCCCCCAGGAUAACCCGCUUUUUAAGCGUGCUCAUAUCCUUCCAGUCCACCGUCAGGCUGCGGCAGAGAACCGAGGCUUGGCCAGCAGGUGGGACCACGGGUCUCCCAACCCCGCCAACCUUCUUUUCUCUUUGACACUUGAUGGCACUGAUGCUUAGCCACUGGGUACUUCCUGGGGUUUAAAGAUCACGCGAUCACCUUAAGGUUCUCAGAGAUGACAGCCACCAUCCAUCACCGUCCUGCACCGCUCUCUGGGGUGGCCCGAGGGACGUGCCCGGGUGGGCCACACUGGCCCGUGUCCGGGUGGCCAUGGCCAAGCUCUGCUGCCCUGGCUCGGUCCCAAGAGGACACGAGUGCAGGCUGAGGAAGUGCACCCCGGCUGGAAGGGCCCCGGGUCCCCAGGGAAGCCGCGCCGAGUCCCUCACCCGGACAGGCAGCACUGAGGCCCCCGUCUUUGUGCUUCUGUUCCAGGUCUGGUGCUGAGCAGAGACCGGAGGAUCUCUUUGGUGAGUGCGGCCGUCUCUCUUUCUCUUUUGUUAUCGCCGUCCAACAUGCGUGGCACAAUAGUCACCGUUUUAAAAUCACUCGUAAGUGUCCAGUUCAGUGGCACUAAAUACAUUCACAAUGUCAUACGACCAUCGUUGCCCCCAGAAAAACUCUGUCCCCACCGAACACCGGUUCUCCACCCUCCCCCCGUCCCUGGUGGCCACCGUUCUGUUUUCUCCGUCUGAACUUAGCUGGUCUAGGGACCUCAUCUAAGUGGAAUCAUGCAAAACGUGGCCUCCUGCGUCCGGCUUAUUUCUCUUACUGUUUCCAAAGCUCAUCCGUGUUGUGGCAGGUGAUGGAAUUUCAUUCCUCCCGUGACUAAUAUUCCGUUUGUCUGGAGCGAUCCACGCAUCCGUCGAUCGACACUUGUGUCCCCCUUUCGGUGACGGUGACUAUGAACCAUGCUGCUGUGAACACGGCUUAUGAAUAUCGGUUCGAGCCCUUGCUUUCAAUUUUUUUUUUUUUAAUUUUUUUUUUCAACGUUUAUUUAUUUUUGGGACAGAGAGAGACAGAGCAUGAACGGGGGAGGGGCAGAGAGAGAGGGAGACACAGAAUCGGAAACAGGCUCCAGGCUCCGAGCCAUCAGCCCAGAGCCCGACGCGGGGCUCGAACUCACGGACCGCGAGAUCGUGACCUGGCUGAAGUCGGACGCNNNNNNNNNNNNNNNNNNNNNNNNNNNNNNNNNNNNNNNNNNNNNNNNNNNNNNNNNNNNNNNNNNNNNNNNNNNNNNNNNNNNNNNNNNNNNNNNNNNNNNNNNNNNNNNNNNNNNNNNNNNNNNNNNNNNNNNNNNNNNNNNNNNNNNNNNNNNNNNNNNNNNNNNNNNNNNNNNNNNNNNNNNNNNNNNNNNNNNNNNNNNNNNNNNNNNNNNNNNNNNNNNNNNNNNNNNNNNNNNNNNNNNNNNNNNNNNNNNNNNNNNNNNNNNNNNNNNNNNNNNNNNNNNNNNNNNNNNNNNNNNNNNNNNNNNNNNNNNNNNNNNNNNNNNNNNNNNNNNNNNNNNNNNNNNNNNNNNNNNNNNNNNNNNNNNNNNNNNNNNNNNNNNNNNNNNNNNNNNNNNAGCGGCCGCUCCUGGUCCUUCCAGGCGCCUUGCACGUGUGCCCGGGUAGUCCUCACUGCAGCCCCAGAGGAGGGACCUGUCGGCCCCCGCAGGCGAGGACACGAAGGCAGCCUGACGACUUGCCUGCGGUCAAGCAGCACCGUCGGUGGGGGCUGCACACCCACGAACGACUGAAAAACCAUUACUGACACACAGGUGCCCACAGAGCAAAACGCGAAUGUCAAGGCCCACCGUUGGCCACGUUGAGGGCAGACUUUGCAGCCCCAUCUGUGUUUUCGUGACUAUGAACGUAGACGCCGACCUAUUUUAGGGCUCUUUGUUUUUGCUGUUCGUUUAGGCUUUCACAUAAGUGGUUGCAAAUGCUUCCGUGGAUGUGGAUUAACUGGAAGGGCAGCGGGAGUUCAGGAAAGGCACACUGGAGGGGGGGGCGGAGGGGGCGGUCAGAGGAGUUUCCUGGAGGAAGUGGGACGUGAGCCAGGUCCAGAGUGGUGGGAUCGGCCUGGGUAAGAAGGGGAAGACUUUCCAGGUACCUGCUUACCGUGUAGAUAGGGGCUUAGAAUAGGCUUAGCGCACGUGUUGAGAUGGGGUUCCUGAUGGAGGGUGUGAAGACCAGAAGGGGAGAGAGGGGCUGCAUAACACGAGGCCUGGAAGCCAGCAGCCAGCCUGGAGCUGUGCGACAGGGGCAUUUGCAGAAACUCCACCACAGAGGCUGUGUGACCUUGGGCAAGCCACUUACCCCCUCCGAACCUGUCUUGUGUGCAAAAAGGAAGUGCAUUCAUUCGUUUAUUCAUCCAUGCAGCUGGUUAAUGAAAAGCUAGGAGGUACCAGCCCCUAUGCCCACCUUUGUGGGGUUGCUGUGUAGACUAGUUAAGGCCUGUGUGUUGAGUGCUCUAGCACAUUGCUUUAGGUGCUCACAGACGGUGCUCUUAAUGAGAUUGUUUAAGAGAGUAACUUGUUUUGCACAUGUGAGAUGCUGUCAUUAGAGAUGGGAACCUCUGGCCUCAGGUGGGCUCAGGGAGACCACUGAGAGUCACCACCCAGGCCCAGAUGUGGACAUGAGGCCAGGACCAGGGCAUUAGCCAAAGGGAUGAGAAUGUUUGACUUUUGGUUUUGAUCCAACUGGGAUCUGUUCUCAAUAUGGUGUGAGGUAGGGAUCCAUUUUCAUUUUCCCCCCAGAUGAAUAGCCAGUUGGCCCAUUACCAGUUAUUGGGGGUCCUCCUAACCACUAAGACUCACUCACCGUGUUUUGUCUUCUGUGUGCCGGUCCUCAGGCUGGGAGCUAAUUGCCAGAUUCUAACCAGUGGGGUCCUGGAGGCCCCUGUUGGAAAGCUUCCCUCCAGAAAGAGUGAUCCUGGCUGGACCCCUGACCUGAGCCAGGCGACCCUCUAGGCAGCAGGGCAGGGCCCCAACUCUACAUUGCUCCACGGUGCGGGUUGGGGUGGUUACUUUUUGUGGCAUUUGAAAACACCCCUUCCCCCUCCUAGGAGCACACAGCUGUUCUGCAGCGGGGUCAUGGUCAGUCACAGUGCCCAAAAUGGGAAGAGUGCCCACCGAUUUGAAGUUUACAUUUGGAACAUAAACUGAAUUACAAAAGAUACAAAUUCUAAAAUUUCAUUUUAGAAUUCCAUUUUUUGUUCCAUUGAUCUUGUCACCAUCUGAGAAAUACCAUUCUAUUUUAAUUCCUAUUUCCUUCAAAUUGUUUUGAUAGUUAGUAGAACCAGUGCUCUCUCCUUGUUCUUCUUUUACACAUUUCCUUGGCUUUUAUUGCAUAUUUUCACUCCCAAAUGAAGUUUGGAACGGUCAUCUUCUGCUAAAAAUUAUAUUGGGAUGGGGCACGUGGCUGGCUCAGUUGGUAGAACAUGCAGCUCUUGAUCUUGAGGUCGUGAGUUCAAACCCCAUGUUGGGCAUAAAGCUUACUUAAAAAAAGAUUAUAUUGGGAUAAUACUGAGUUUGUAGAAUACUUUGGGAAUUUAGUUACUGUUAAAAUUAUGAAUGGGUAUCACUUAUUCAUAAUAAAGGCACCGCCUCAAUUUAGUGGCUUUCAGGCAACGGGUUAUCCAUAUGAAAAAGUACGAUCCUAGAUCAUUGCCUCACACUACACACAAAAAUAAUUCCAGAUGGAUCACAGAUCAUAACAUGAGAGCUAAAACAGUAAGGGUUCUAAAGAAAACAGGGAAUACCUUCAUGACCUUGACAUAGACAAUAUAUUUUAAAUAAAACAACAUACACAUGUGAAUCAAUAAAAAUAUUGACAAACAGGUCUUUAUUAAAAUUUAGAAUUUCUGUUCAUCAUGGGGGCACCUGGGUGGCUCAGUGGGUUGAGUGUCUGACUCUUGACUUUGGCUCAGGUCAUGAUCCCAGGGUUGUGGGACUGAGCCAUGCAUUUGGCUCCAUGCUGAGUGGAGAUUCUCUCUCCCUCCCUCUGCUCCUUCCCCCCACUUGUGCUCAUGCACACUCUCUUUCUCCCUCAAAAAGAAAAAAAUAAUAACAAUACUUUCUGUUCAUCAAAAGACAAUUUAAGAGAGUGCAAAGUCAAGCCACAGACUAAAAGAAGAUAUUUAAAUGCAUAGGUCUACUAGAGGACUCAUACACAGAAUAUAUAAAGAGCUCUGACAAAUCAAUAAGGUAAAAACUAACAACCUCAUUUUUAAAAACAGGCAAAAGAUUUUAACAGGCACUUCAAGAAAAAGGCUAUCCAAGUGGCCAAUCAACACAUGAAAGGUGCUCAUCAUCGUUAAUUAGGGCAAUGCAAAUCAAAAGACCAAUGAGACACCUCUACGUCACUGGAAUAGCCAAAAUCAAAAGGCCUGACAUCACUAAGUCUUUUUUUUUUUUUUUAAGUUUAGUUUUUGAGAGCGAGCGAGCGAGCAGUGGAGGGGCAGAGAGAGAGAGAGAGAGAGAGAGAGAGAGAGAAUCCCAAGCAGGCUCUGCACUGUCAGCACAGAGUCCGGUGUGGGGCUUGAACUCACUGACCGUGAGAUCAUGACCUGAGCUGAAAUCAAGAGUCAGACACGGACUGAGCCACCCAGGCGCCCCCUGACAACACCAAGUCUUCCUCGGGGCAUGGAGCAACCAGAAUUCAUCUACACUGCAGGAGGAAAUACAAAUUGAUGCAACCAUUUGGAAAAUUGUUGCAGAACUGCUAAAGCAAAAUAUAGGCAAAUCCUGUGAGCCCGCAAUUCCACUCCUAGGUGUAAACCUAGCAAAAAUACGUGCCGUGCGCACAAAAGACACGUGUGAGGAUGCUCAUAACAGCUUCAUUCGUAACAGUCCCAAGCUGGAACUCACCUACAUGUCUUUGAACGACAGAAUGCAUAAGUUGUUAUACAUUCAGACGCCGGAGCACCACACAGGAAUGAGAAAACCAACACACUCACAGAGCAAAAGAAGCCAGGAAGAAGAGAGCACUCUGUAUGAUUCCAUUUACCCGAAGCUCAAGCAGAGGCAAAUUGAUCUCUGGGGCUAGAGGUCCGAAUAGGGACGUCCUUGGAGAAUACUCCGGGGGGGAACCUGCUGGGGGCUGGUGAUGUUCCAGGCUUCGAUCUGGGUCACAUGGAGCAUUUAUUGUGAAGGGCCAUCAUGAACCGACACAUAGAUCUGGGGACUUUGCCGUAAGUUACACUUGAAUUACAAGAGAAAACGUGGGCUGCCUUGGUGGCUCAGCUGGUUGGGCGACUUGAUUUCAGCGUAGGUCACGGUCUCACGGUUCACAGAUUUGCUCACAGCAUGGAGCCUGCUUUGGAUCCGUCUCCCUCUCUCUGCCCCUCUCUAGCUCACGUACUCGCUCUCAAAAACAAACAAAAAAAGUCAAAAAAAUUUUUACAAAAGAAAAAUAUACAUUGGGAAGUGAAAGUGGGCUAGGGAAAGAAGGUAAGAGGAGAGGGAUGUAGACGCAGAGACAACCAAAAAAAAAAAAAAAGACAAGCACACCCAAUAGCCUUUGCUCUUAAAGACUUUCUUGGAGAAAUAUCCUCCUAUCUUGGCCUUGGAAGAAACCACUGCAAAACCCCAGCCUUGUGUUGCGCUUUCACACCUGGAGACGUACGUGGAGGGAAUAUCCCUCAGUCUCUGCCUUGGGGACCAACAUAGAAUUGAGUCGAGGGCCUGAGCCCACAAGCCGGAGAGCCCCAGUUCGGCCAGAGAAGCCUAUGGAAGCAAGGCGAAGAGGAUGGGGGCUGGGGGCAGACACCUGAGCCGAGUCCUGGUGCCAUCUCCUGUUUGCUCUCGUGCAUCUUUAGCCCGUGUGAUCCUCCACCAAAGCACCGUUUUAAUAUGCCCAUCAGCACGGGUCCCGGGGAGCCCCUCUGUGGGCAGGAGCCACCUUGGUGCUUUUCCUUGAGCUGGGCGCUCUGCCUGGAGGAGAGGGUGCAGCAUGACCGGGUCCUCGUAGACCGUUCAUCUGGGAACGCCUGUUUCUGAAGAGCACCCAAGGUCAUUUUCGCCCGAGGAGGGGGAACUAGCUGGGAGGUCGGCGCAGAACAAGGGCAGUGUGCUCUCAUGGCUGUGACCAGGGAGGCGUGCUUGUGUGCACAUGUGUGCUCUCAUGAGGAUUUCACACCCGUCAAGGGGGUGGAGGAGUGUCGGGCACUUGACGCAGUCAGUCCUCGUGGGAGCUUUGUGGAAUUCAUCCGCUCAGCACCCCUGUAUCGAGCUCCUCCUAUGGCACAUCUCGAGUUCUGGGGCUGGGGCAGCACAGUCUGGUACAAGCAUAACGUGAGCCUCACAUAAUUUCACGUCUCGGAGUAGCCACAUUAGAGUAAAAAGAAACAGGUGAGACCAACUUUCGCAUUUUUUAACUCCAUGUAUCCGAGAUGUAGUCAGUAUAAACAUUUCAGAUAUUGGGCCUUUUUUCAUGCUGUCUUUGAAAUCCUCUGUCCAGUUUCCACCUACAGCGCAUCUCAGCUUGGACUAGGCCCAUUUCGAGCACUCCUAGCCACGUAUGUGUCCCUUGUGGGACAGCACAGAUCUGACGCCUUCGAUGGUCAUAAGACAGGGUGGUCCGGGCUAUGAUGGAGGCCUGCAGGGGCGGUGGGGACAUCGAGGUAUAUUCAUUCUGCCCUGUGGCUUAAGCAGGUUUCUUUCUCGUGGAAAUGGCUGGUGCGGGCACGCGGGCCGCUGCCUGGCCGGUCAGCACUACAGGGCGGCCUGUGGAUGGGGAAAGGGGUUUCGGGGCAAGGGGCCACACCUAGUCCUCAAAUCUAGGCCCAGAAGCAGCCCGGGUCACUUCUCUGCAUUUAGUCGCACAAGCACACCAGGAGGUAAAGGGAUUUGGACACGUCUGGCUGGGCAGCGGUGAGCCCAGAAAGAGGGAGAACAGAUUUAGGGGGAAAACCAGUCUGACCCAUGGGGUUUAGAGAGGCCUCUGUUGAGGUGAUGUGUUUGGGUACUGGGGCAGAUGGCCAUGGCGGCCCCAUGAGGCCCCCGCUGCCCCCAAGAGAGAUGGGCUUCGCACCCACAGCAGCACCCGCUAACCCGUGGGAGGACUCACUGUGGUUUUGUCUCUGCAGCCAGAGCACAACAUCGAUUUCGUCAGCAGGGACCUGCUUGUGCAUUUCAUCAGGAAGCUGCAGGCCCACGUCCUGCUCAUCAAGUAAGU